AAUGACUUCCAGCUGGAGCAGCCCAGCCAGCCUGCGCGCUCACUCGCUUGCUUGCGCUGGGCUUCAGGGCGCCCGGGAAUUUGCACUGUCUGUUAAAACGCGGUCAUUGUUUUGCUUUCAAAUCGAACUUCACGACAGUUAGCAACUUCAAGAACGCUUCCAAAUGGAUAAAUCUUUCCAGAAGAUUUCUUGCUUCAAAACAGCUGCAUUUUUGGAAGAAAGUCCACAACUGACAACUAAGCAAAACCCUCCUGGUGGAUAGCAUAAAUCUGCUUUGUUGAAGCUGCUCAUUUGUCUGAUCUAUGAGUCCAGAAGAUGCAAACUCCCUUCCCAGCUUAUGCAAAAAUACUUCCAGUAAAAACAAGCCCUUUGGCCCUUUUCUUUUGUCAGUCCAGAUUUCAGCAUGUUCUUCGCUUUGUUAUUCAUCAUUUUAUGUAUUUGGACCCAUCCUCAAACAGACUUUAAACCGUUUAAAGGCAAGGAGGGACUCUUUCGUAAACCUUUAAUCCCCUGGCCCAGCUGAGUAGAUGCACAGUGUCUUUUGAUGAUGGUGAUAUGGAAUGAUUAAUAACCACACAAGGCAUUCGGUUGGUCAAGUCACUGUUUAUUGGCUCAAAAUAAUCCUUGGUUUCUGUAUGUCUACAGCUCACUUCCUAAACAGUUAAAUCCGGAGAAGUCUAAUAGAUAAUAGUUGGUGAUCAUAAAUAUAAAUAACCAAUACAUUAGAAUGUGUAGUCAAAAUAGGAAUACUUGCUUUUCACUUACUUCCCACGGGUCGCUGCUGGUGGUAGUCAACACAAAUAAAAAUUUGAACUCAUUUUGUUAUUCAUCUAAAAUGAGAAACUCGGUGAAACAUUGAUUUUCUAAAAUUGCUGCAUAUUUAAAUGUGAUUAUAAUUGCUUUUUAGCAUUUUAAAAUUGUAACAUCGAUACCAAAUGCUUAAGAAUCUAAAGAAUAGUCUAUUGGGGCUGGCCUAUUUUGUGUAAAAUGGUCUGUAUCAUAAUGGAUGACUGAUUAUCCCAUCCACAUUAUUUGGAUUCACUUAAUACUAGGUUUUAACGUUAGGAGAAUAAAACCCUCAAGAAACCUAACAUAGAUUUGUAUAUUUAGUUUUCUCCUUCCUUAUCAUCUUCCACCAGACUUACAGGUGUUCCACCUGCUUGUAGUUUCGGUAAUAAUACCAGCUGGCGGUGGUUCCUAACUCUAGCUACACUUUAAAAUUACCUCGUGCAUUUAAAAAAAAAAUGCAGUUGUUUAGGUUCUUCCCCUAGAUAUUUUAAUUUACAAGGUUUGGGAUGUGGCCUGGGCACCGAUUUUUUUAACUUUUUAUUUGAAUGUAGACUUACAGGAAGUUGCAAAGAUAGUACAGAGAGGUCUGAUAGAGCCUCCACUGUUGGUUACAUCCCGCAUAGCUAGAGCACAAUAAUAAAGCCAGGACAUUGACACUGAGAUAAAAUGUGCCUGUGAUUCUGUGUCACCUUAUCCCUGAAGACUCUUGUAAUCAUUACCACAAUCAAAAUACAAACUAUUUCAACACCACGAAGAUCUCUCUCAUACAGUCCCUUUAUGGUCGUCCCUUUCUUUCCCCCACACCAUCCCUAACCCUUUGCAACCAUCAGUCUGUUCUCCAUUUCUAUAAUUUUGUCGUUUGGGGAAUGUUUUAUAAAUUGGUCCUCACAGCUUGUGACCUUCUAAGAUUAGCUCACCAUCCCCCCCACCCCCCCACCCCACCCAACUCAGCAGAAUGCCCUAGAGAUUUAUCCAAGUUAUUGCAGGUAUUUCUAGUUUGUUCCUUUCUGUUACUGAGUUCUACACUAUGGGUGUAACACAGUUUGUUUAAUCAUUCAGCAUUCACCUAUCAUACAUUUUGGUUCCUUCUUUUUUUGGGCGGGGGGAGUGCCUAUUACAAAUAAAACUGUCUUGAAAAAUUG
rnacentral:lncRNA from 10 species